rnacentral:rRNA from 1 species
GGCCACUUCGGUGGUACUCGAGCGGCGAACGGGUGAGUAACACGUGAGUAAUCUGCCCUUCACACAUGGAUAACUACCGGAAACGGUGGCUAAUACAUGAUACGACACGUCUUCGCAUGAGGUGCGUGUGGAAAGUUUUUUCGGUGGAGGAUGUGCUCGCGGCCUAUCAGCUUGUUGGUGGGGUAAUGGCCUACCAAGGCUUCGACGGGUAGCCGGCCUGAGAGGGUGACCGGCCACACUGGGACUGAGACACGGCCCAGACUCCUACGGGAGGCAGCAGUGGGGAAUAUUGGACAAUGGGCGGAAGCCUGAUCCAGCAACGCCGCGUGAGGGAUGACGGCCUUCGGGUUGUAAACCUCUUUCAGUACCGACGAAGCGAGAGUGACGGUAGGUACAGAAGAAGCACCGGCCAACUACGUGCCAGCAGCCGCGGUAAUACGUAGGGUGCGAGCGUUGUCCGGAAUUAUUGGGCGUAAAGGGCUCGUAGGCGGUUUGUCGCGUCGGGAGUGAAAAUCCAGGGCUUAACUCUGGACUGGCUUCCGAUACGGGCAGACUAGAGGUAUGCAGGGGAGAACGGAAUUCCUGGUGUAGCGGUGAAAUGCGCAGAUAUCAGGAGGAACACCGGUGGCGAAGGCGGUUCUCUGGGCAUUACCUGACGCUGAGGAGCGAAAGUGUGGGGAGCGAACAGGAUUAGAUACCCUGGUAGUCCACACCGUAAACGUUGGGCGCUAGGUGUGGGGUCCAUUCCACGGAUUCCGUGCCGCAGCUAACGCAUUAAGCGCCCCGCCUGGGGAGUACGGCCGCAAGGCU